UACGUAGGGUGCAAGCGUUAAUCGGAAUUACUGGGCGUAAAGCGUGCGCAGGCGGUUGUGCAAGACCGAUGUGAAAUCCCCGGGCUUAACCUGGGAAUGGCAUUGGUGACUGCACGGCUAGAGUGUGUCAGAGGGGGGUGGAAUUCCGCGUGUAGCAGUGAAAUGCGUAGAGAUGCGGAGGAACACCGAUGGCGAAGGCAGCCCCCUGGGCCGACACUGACGCUCAGGCACGAAAGCGUGGGGAGCAAACAGG
rnacentral:rRNA from 1 species